rnacentral:tRNA from 1 species
GGGGUUGUGGCUCAACGGUAGAGUGCUCGCCUAGCACAUGCGAGGCCUUGGGUUUAAUCCUCAGUACCCCA